rnacentral:rRNA from 1 species
UUUUAAUCCUUCACAUAAUAUAAACUAUAUCCACAGGCUUAAAAUUCACUCAAAUAAGGUACAGCCUAUUUGAGACAGGAGACAACCUACGACAUAGGGUAAUGCUUAAACCAACGUGACCAAGUGGGCCCAAAAGCAGCCAUCUUUAAAAAAGCGUUAAAGCUUUACCACGCCUAAUUAUUAAUUCUGAUCUGGCCCCAAAACCCUUCACCUAUACUGAAUGACUCUAUACCUUUUAUAGAAGCCCUCAUGCUAGAACUAGUAACAAGAAUUUACAUUCUCCAACAAAUGUAAGUGUAAGCCAAAAUGGACCCUCCACCGGCACUCACCGCUAAUGAACCAACAGUAAUAACUUCCGCAAGAAAAUCCUACUCCACACAGCGUUAACCUUACACAAGAACUUUCCUGGAAAGAUUAAAAAAAGAGGAAG